UGGGGUUUUGUCUUUUUUUGUUUUUAUUGUACUUCCAAAAAAAAAGUAGGCCAAUUUGCAUACAAAAUUUACAAAUUUUGAGUUUUUGUAAAACUCGGCCGUCUUUUUCGAUUUUGCAAAUUGGGUUCGAAUUUUUACUAAACUGACCAAAAUAUUUUUAUACAUUUUUCUCUCUUCUUUGUUUUUUAUCGCGUUCUUUUUUGUUUCUUGCCGAAAAAAGCGACAGAGACGAAGGCGGAAACGGUCCCCACCAUCUCUGCACCUCACACUCUCACCCUCGCCCGCACACCCCUCGCCCUACUCUUCUCCGACCCCACCAAAGCAGUGCUGCGACCUUUUUUUUUUUUUCUUUCUGACCCUCCUCUACUGCCUCCAUGAUCCUCCGAAACGAUAAAGAGAAUGGCACCACGUUUUCUUCCUCCGACUACGCCCUCCGCCUUCAUUUUAAAGGGUGCAUACGUUUUACCUUUUGUUCUCUAGUGUUUUGAAUUUAGUUCCAAACUGCAUUAGUGGUACACGAAGGUACACGUAUCCACGUGUCAUUGCUUUUGUAGGAUCUGACUCGUUGAUGUCCUUGUCGUAGAACUAUUAUAAUAUGUAAUUAUAAAUGGAGUAAAAUAUAUAUAAUUAUAAGGAAUAAUUUCAUAGAUGCCCCUCUAGAAACUAUUAAUUUCAUCAAUACCCUUCCAAAAUUAAUAAUAUCACAAAUACCCUCCAAAAUGUGAAAAAUUAUCAUAAAUACCCUCCUCUAGUUAAGAUUCAUUAAAGCCCAUUUGAAUCGGAGUUAAAUUUUUAAAAUACCAUUUUUACCCUUUAUCUCUUUUUAAUAGUAGAAAUACUAAUAGGUAUUUCAAAAUAAUUUUUGUAAAUCUAAAUUUGAGUAUUUAAUAUAUAAAUAGUUAAUUAAAUUAUUAAUAUAUAUUAAUUAAUAAAAAAUAUAUAAAAAUUGUAUUUUAAAUAUAGUAUGUUUUUAUCUGAUUUUGGUUUUGUUUUUGGUUUUGGGUUUCGGUUCAGAUUCGGUUUAAAUAUAGACCAAAACUAUAUAACUGAAUUUACAUACGACGGGAUUUUAUUUUUUGGUAUCUAUAACUAAAACUAUCCCCUAUUCAGCAUUGAUUAAACUUAUCCCAUUUUAAAUCGAGUUUAGAUAAAAUUCCGUAUCUAUAUCAAUUCACAUUCCUAAUUAGUAAUAGUAAUUUUGAAAUAAAUUAUAGAUUUUAUUUUUUUCCUAUUUAAAAAUAAAUCACAUAAUUGUUUUGUCGAUUGAAAUAAAAAGAGAGUUUUGUUCAAAAGCUAAAAUAUAUUAUAUUUCAGUUUUUUAAUACACUUAAUGCAGAUAAAAUUAUCGAGAAUAAUUUUGAUUAAAAAAAUUUUUAAGUUUUCAAGAUUAAAGAAAGAUCGGAUAAUUCCUUAACAUUAUUUUCAUUUAAAUUUUAUAUAUAGUUAUUUAUUUGAUAAAAAAUAAAUAGAGCCAUUAGAUUUGGUAAAAUCAUCAAAAAAAACUAAAAAAUUCUUUUUUUUUUAUACACUGAAAUUAGGUUUUUUUUAUAAAUAAAAAGUUAAUGGGGUAUCAACUAAAAAAUGAAAGUUGAGGGAGCUGUUUCAAAAUGCAUAUAGUUGAGGGGGUUUCCACACAUUUUUAGUUAAAAGAUAUUUGAGGGUAAAUAAGUCAUUUUAAAAAUUAACCCAUCUUUAACCAUGUAAUAACUAUAGUAAAACUAACCUAACUAACAGUAGGGGUAUUAAUGAUAAUUUUUUGUGUUUAUAGGGGUAUUGGUGAUAUUUUAAACUUUAUAGGGGCAUCUAUGAUAUUUUAAACUUUGGGAGGGGUAUCCAUGAAAUUGCCCCUAAUUAUAAUUAGGAUAAAUUUUAAAUAUUAUUUAUGUCAUUUCGUAUUUUUUUCGCUUUAGUACUUUAUGUUUCAAAAUGUAUCAAUUCAGUAUCUUUGAUUAUUUGUCUUUUCGUCGUCCCCUCCGGUAACGUUUCAUUAAAUCAUAUACAAAAAAUUUUAGAUAUUCCAUCUAUAGUUUAUCAAAUAUUUACUUUAAUACUUUUUAAUUUUAACUUUCUCACUGAUUUAAUAAAAAAAAUUAAUAAAGGGUAUAACAAAAAAAAAAAAAUUAUAGAAUAUGAAAAUGAUAUACUUUAAACCACACGAUAUUAAAAUAAAAAAGUACGAAAUUACAGAAAUGAUAUUUUAAUUUUUUUUUAUAAUUAUUAUAUAUCUCAUUUAGUUGAAUAUAGUAAAAAAUAGAGUAACUAUCAAUAUGGUUUGGCUUUGUACAUUUAAUAAGUGCAUUUACAAAAAUGAGGCUUCAAGACAAUUGCCCAAUUUUGUGCACAAGUUUAAAAGGAAAAAACUAUUUACUAUCAAUAAAACAAAUUCUAAUGGUAAAUGUUUAUAACAAAAGUGGCUUGAGCAUAAUUUUCGCCAUGCCCAAGGGGCCGUUUGUUUCUACAUAAAACUGUAAAAAAAAAUUUAGUAGAAAAAAAAAUUUUAGAGAACAAUAAAUUUUACCUGUUUUAGUGUUUAGUUUAUAGAAGAAGAAAAAUUACUCUUUAUCACGAUUGUUUGGUUGAGGAAAAAAAGAAUAUAAAUAGAAAACUAUUAUAUAUAUAUAUAUAUAUAGUCCGGUUACUAUAUUUUUAUGAGUAAUAGAGCAUAUUGUACUCAUAAAUUUUUUACCGUUAGAUCUGCCCUUUAAUCAUUUUCACCCGUUAGAUUAUACUAUUCAACCAACCACCCACUCAACCCUAGGGGACCCACUAUGNUCUCUCUCUCUCUCUCUCUCUAUAUAUAUAUAUAUAUAUAUAUAUGAAUCAGGCUGGGAUACUAUCAAUAGGACCAAGCGUUUAGUGCUAUCAAGUUUUUCACUGUUAGAUUUAACUCUUUGACUAUUUUUAUCUGUUAGAUUAUACUAUUAAACCGAUAACUUAUUCAACCCUAGGAGGCCCACAUUAUUUUAACCGUAUAUUUUUUCAUCCAAGGACCGAAAAUCUAAUAGCACCAAUAGUUUGGUGCUAUUGAUAAUAUUCCAGCCUAGUUCUAUAUGCACACACAGGUCUUGUGUGCUAUUAGGAGCACGGAUCCAUCCGUGUUCCUAAGUCGUUUUUGAUUAUGGAGUUUUUGAAUCGACGAUCACCUCCAUUAGACUUAAUCUAGCCUAUUUGAAAUAUCUAGAAAAUAAAUUUUGUGAUUUUUCGAUAUCAUUUACCUAGCGACAAAAGGAUUCAAAAUAAAUAAUUUUUAAUAGUUGAUGUAUACCAUUUGCUAGUUUAACGGUGUAGAAAUAUUCAAAUCAGAUAAAUUUUAAUAGAAAAUUCUUUAUACUAUUUACUAUAAAAUCAACAUCUCUGAUCGAAAAUUUUAACGAUAUAUCACCAAUUUUUUUGAGAUUUUUAUUUUCAGCCAUUGAUUUUGAACCCUUUCAAUCGCUAGGUAAAUGAUAUCAAAAAAUCGCAAAAUUUAUUUUCUAGAUACUUCAAAUAUGCUAGAUCAAAUCCAACGGAGUCGAUCGUCGAUUCGGAAGCUCAAUGAUCGAAAAUGGCUUAGGAAGACGGAGACCUCCGUACUCCUAAUAGCACACAAGACCUACUCUAUAUAUAUAUAUAUAUGAGUCCAGCUAUGGUGCUUUUCAAAAGCACCAAGCAGUUGGUGCUUAUAAAUUUUUCACCGUUAGAUCUACCCCUUUGACCAUUUUCACAUGUUAAAUCAUACUAUUCAACCAACCCACCUACUCAAUUCUAAAGGACCACAAUCAUUCUAACCGAAGACCGCUAUCAUUCUAACCACACAUCCUUUCAUCCAACGGUUGAAAAUUUAUGUAUACAGAGGUGUGUAUACUCAUAAGAGUAUAGUAAACCAACUCUAUAUUAUGAGAGAGACAGAGAGAGAGAGAGAGAGGAUCACCGUGGACCUCAUGAACCGCAUGCUACAGCUCUCAAUGCCGCUUGUUUUCAGUCUUUGUUUUUGUUUUCCUUCAAUUUUCUUUAGAAUUUGUAAAAAAAAUAGUUCGAAAAAAUAUUUUUACGAGCAACUAAACAUCGAAAAAUACCUUUCAACUGAAAAAUAAUUUUUCGAAUAAUUUUAUAAGAAACCAAACACACUCUAAAAGUAAACUAACCAUAACACUAAAAAAAAAAAGAAGCAUUAUCUCUAAUCCAGUGUGCCUUAUUUUUGUGCGCAUGAUGCGAUUCCAUAGCCUAUCCAACAGCGCCUUAAAUAUAUAUCAGAUGCUAAUAUGCCGCAUAAUAAAUAAAUAGCCAAAUUUAUAGACCUUAUCGGAAUUAUAAGUCAUUUUAAUUCGAGUACCUAAUAUUUCAAAAUUUUUAUUUUAGUAUACAAUUUUCAAUUUGUUUAAUUUAAGCUAUUUGGUAGUUCUUCUAAUACAAAAUUUAAACUAUUUACUUAUUUUAAUAUUUUUUAAGUAUAUGAAUUGCAUUUAAUUUGUUAAUUAAGACUGUAAAGAUAAAUAACGCAUUUAACUUUAGAGGUUCAAGAGUCAUAAACUGACUCAAAUCAAAUAAACCAAAAGAUUAGCUAUCAAAAUUAAAACUUUAAAAAUUAUAAUCAAAUCAAAACGAACAAUAGUUGAGAUAUAUUGUACAUAUUUUUACCUAUAAAAUUAAGGAGCCAUUCUCAAGAAUGGUUAAUUGUUAAUCACAUGUCAUCAUAUCAUUUACUCUUUAAUGGUAAUAUAUAAAGUAAUGAGUAAAUUGCAAACAUGGUCCUCAAACUAUGAAGAAUUUGUUAUAAUUUUUAGCUCAAAGUUUUAUAAUUACUAUAAUCAAAUCAUUCAAUCUAAUUUAGACGACCAAAUAUUAAUACAUCGCUAUUUCUCGAAAAAAAAUAUUAAUACAUCGCUAACAUUAAAGUGAUGUGGUAUCUUAAAUUUUAGCGUAUCAUUAAUCACAACUAUUGUAUAACUUCUAUAUUAGUGAUAUAUUACUAUUUAGUCAACUAAAUUAGGUUAUACUACUUAAAUGUAAUAAUUCUGAUGAUUUAAAUUAUAAAAUUAUAAUAAAUUAAAAUUUAAAAAAUUAUAAUAUCACCUAUCUCGAGGACCAAAUGUGCAAUUUUACCCCUAAGUAAUCUUGUACACCCACUGUCAUAUUCACAUAUGUUGGCAACAGUACCUUAAUCCAACGCGUUGCUCGAAACGUCGCAUUCACUACUCAUCAUACGACAAAUUAAAUGGUAGUACUAAGUUUACUAUCAAUUUUUACACUAUUUCAUAAGCUAAUGUUUUAAAAAUUGAGUUGAAUCUAUCGAUUCGAUCGGCUCGAUCAUGAUCUAGUCUAUAUAAAUGUUUAGCUCAAUUCUUUUGAACCGAAUAAAUAUAUUUGGUAAAUGGAUACGUUCGAUAAACCGCGGGUGGGUUAUUAUACUCGCAGCUUAUAUGCACAUAGAUAAACACUAUUAAAAAAUUAGUCAUUAGUGGCAUUUAUUUACGCUCCUAAAAGGUCAACAAAUUUCGUUACAAGUUUAGCAGCGUAUGUCACCAAAUGCUGUCCAUACCAAUAUUGCUAAAAGUAUAUAUAUAAAUGCCAGUUUUAAAUUAUUUACUACUGACACAUAAAUAUAAUGCAAAUAAUACAAAUAUCUUAUUUUGGGAAUCCAAAUUUUAAAAUUUUCAUUUUAUUUUAGAUUUAAUUUUUAAAUUUAAAUCUAUAUUUGAAUUUUUUUGAGAGAAAUAUAGUAUGCUCCCCGUUUCGUUUGUUUCUUUUAAAAAUAAACUUAGCUAGAAAUGUUAAUCAAAUAGGAUUCGAACUUGAAACAUCAAAUACCAACCACCAAAUCCUUUGCUACUUGUGUUAGAAACUAUCAGUUAUAUAUAUUUACAUUUUUAAAAUUUUAAGUUUUCAAUUUUAAAAUUUUAAUUUUUAAAUUCUAAAUUUAUGUAUUAAAUUUAAAUUUUUAAUUUUAAAAUAUCAAAUUUUAAGUUUCAAAAUUUACAGUUUUAAAUUUAAAAUUUUAAUUUUAAAAUAAAGUUAAAAAUUAAAAAUUAAAAAUUUAGAAUUUAAAAUAUAAAAUUUUAAAAUUUUAAAUUUUAAAUUAUAACUUUAAUUUUUUUAAUUAUAAAAUUUGAAUUUUUAAACUUAAAUUUUAAAAUUUUUAAUUCUUAGUAAAAAUGGUAUAAAUUAAUAAUUAUAUAUUGACUAGUGACGAUAUUUAGCAAUAAGUGCUGCUACGUUAUUACAUUUAGCGGCGUUCACUAAUUUACGCUGCUAAUUUAUUUUAUUUUACAAUAUUAAUAACAAAUUGCUGCUAAAUUAUUAAAUCUAGCCGCAAUUUUCAAGUAAUACUGUUAAGUAUAUUAUUUAACAUGAUUUAAAUAAAUAUUGUGAAAUAAAUGUCGCGGUAUUUAGCAAUAAGCGUUGUUGUUUUGUUAUAUUUAGUGUCAUUUUUUUUUAAAUCCUGAAAUUUUCAGCGGCAUUCACUAAUUUAUACUGCUAAUUUAUCUUAUUUUGCAACAUUAAUAGUAAAUUGCCGCUAAAUUAUUAAAUUUAGCUGCAAUUAUCCAGCAAUACUGUUAAAUAUAUUAAUUAGCAUGAUUUAAAUAAAUACUACGAAGUAAAUGUCGCUAAAUCAUGAAUUUAUUAUAAUGAAAAUUUAUCCGUAAAUUUUUGGAUAGUCAAUAUUUUUACCCAUACCAGCCCCGAGUAGACAGGCGAGUAUGCAGUUUGCCCGCAAAAUAUUUUUUUUCCCUUUUGCUCCUGUACUUUUCAAAAGCAAAACAUAUAACAUAAUUUUUUAAAAAUCAUAACAUAACUUUUGUUUGAAAUAUCACAACAUAUAAUAAACAGUUUUAAAAUGUAUAAAUUAUAUAAUAAAAAAAUAUUUUAUAAUUUCAAAAUUUUGUGUUACAAAAUUAAUAUAGUUUUCAUUUAUGAAGACCGUAAAUGAGCACUCCCUGGUCCAAUAUAGGCUGAGCCACCAGAGAAUGGUAGAGCGGUGCGGCUGGAGAGGCGGGGCGGGAGGUGACUACAACAAAUAUAUAUAUAUAUAUAUAUAUAGAGAGAGAGAGAGAGAGAGAGAGAGAGAGAGAGAGUAGGGCUACUGUGCUCUAAGGAGCACGGAAGCCUCCAUGCUUCUGAGCCGUUUUCGAUGAUAGAAUUUGCGAAUGGACGAUCGGCUCCGUUAGACUUGAUCUAACGUAUUUGAAGUUUCUAGAAAAUAAUUUUUGUAAUUUUUUGAUACCAUUUACCUAGCAAUCGAAAGGAUUCAAAAUCAAUAAUUUUUAACGGUUGAAAAUAAAAAUUCUAUAAAAUGUGUGAUAUAGCACUAAAAUUUUCAAUCAGAAAUAUUGAUCUUAUUGUAGAUAGUAUCAAGAAUUUUGUAUCAAAAUUUCAUCUGAUUUGAAUACUUCUACACCGUUAAACUUGAAAACGGUAGAUAUCAACCAUUAAAAAUUAUUGAUUUUGAAUCCUUUCGAUCUAAUGAUAUCAAAAAAUUGCAAAAAUUAUUUUCUAGAAACUUCAAAUACGCUAGAACAAGUCUAACGGAGCCGAUCGUCGAUUCGAAAAUUCCAUCAUCGAAAAUGGCUCAGGAGCAUGGAGGCCUCCGUGCUCCUGAGAGCACCGCAGCCCUACUCUAUAUAUAUAUAUAUAUAUAUAUAUAUAUAUAUAUAUAUAGAGAGAGAGAGAGUCCGACUACUAUCCUAUUAAUAGGAUUGAGGCCGUUGUCCUAUCAAAUCAUUUUGAAUAAUCGACACUUUAAAUUAAUAAUCGGUACCAUUGAAAUUGAUCUACACUAUAAAAAAUAUUUAAAAAUCAAAUUUUGUAAUUUUUAAAAAUUAUUAUCAAGUCUAUCGAAGAGUCGAAAAAUGAAUGGUCAAAAACAAAUGACCUUCUGAAAACAGAUGUUAGACUUUCUCAAUUUAAGAUCAAAGUUAUUAAACAUUAUCUAAAUAGUAUAAAAAAUUUUCUAUCAAAAAUUCAACCUAUUUGAAUUACUCUACACCGUUAAACAUGCAAACGGCUCAUAUAGGCCGUCAAAAAAUUGUCAAUUUUGUUAUCCUUUGAUCACUUUGAAAAUAAAUUUUAAAAUUUAUAAAAUUUAGUUCUUAGAUAUUUCAAAUAUUCUAGAUCAACUUCAACGGUUCCGAUCAUUGAUUCGAGAUCUCUAUCAUCAAAAACUAUUUGAUAGGACGAAGGUUCCUAUCCUAUUAAUAGGAUAGCAGCUAGAUUAUAUAUAUAUAUGAUUAUAUAUAUAUAUAUAUAUAUAUAUAUAUAUAUAGAGAGAGAGAGAGAGAGAGAGAGAGAGAGAGAGAGAGUAGGGCUACUGUGCUCUAAGGAGCACGGAAGCCUCCAUGCUUCUGAGCCGUUUUCGAUGAUAGAAUUUGCGAAUGGACGAUCGGCUCCGUUAGACUUGAUCUAACGUAUUUGAAGUUUCUAGAAAAUAAUUUUUGUAAUUUUUUGAUACCAUUUACCUAGCAAUCGAAAGGAUUCAAAAUCAAUAAUUUUUAACGGUUGAAAAUAAAAAUUCUAUAAAAUGUGUGAUAUAGCACUAAAAUUUUCAAUCAGAAAUAUUGAUCUUAUUGUAGAUAGUAUCAAGAAUUUUGUAUCAAAAUUUCAUCUGAUUUGAAUACUUCUACACCGUUAAACUUGAAAACGGUAGAUAUCAACCAUUAAAAAUUAUUGAUUUUGAAUCCUUUCGAUCUAAUGAUAUCAAAAAAUUGCAAAAAUUAUUUUCUAGAAACUUCAAAUACGCUAGAACAAGUCUAACGGAGCCGAUCGUCGAUUCGAAAAUUCCAUCAUCGAAAAUGGCUCAGGAGCAUGGAGGCCUCCGUGCUCCUGAGAGCACCGCAGCCCUACUCUAUAUAUAUAUAUAUAUAUAUAUAUAUAUAUAUUCAAAUAUCUUACAUGCACGUAUAUUUUGCUAGUAAUUUAUAGAAUUUGGAGUUAUAUAUUGGCAUAAUAUUGAAGCAGAUUCGCAAGCCAGAAAUCUCCUGAAACCACAAAUCAGCAAAUUUGGAUUUUAUUUGUUCGAGUAUUCUCUCUCUUUAUGUCUUUUCUGAUGAUCUAACUGAUUCCGAAUCCGAUUCGGUCCCCUGUUCUGAAGUCGUAGUUGUCUCUUUAAACCUGUUCAUACAUAAGAGACAAGCCUUUUCUUAUGUAAAAAUUUCACAAAUACCAAUCGAAUCUAAUCCGUGUGUCGCGCGACAGGACUAAUUUACAAAAAAGAGAGAACAUUCUUGAGAAGACAAAGUGCUUGAGAGGCAAAACCUUCAGGUACCAUUUGGAUCGAAUACAAAAGGAAGAUAAGAUCUUUAUCCCCAUUUUGUACCCAAACACAAAGUUGGGUGGGUGGGAACUACUUGUUCAUAUUCCCACCCAUACUUGGUUAUUUUGGGAUAACCCGGUAUGGGCCUUCCCACGGGUAGGCUUGGCCGAUUGGGAACAAAUAGGGUGAAUUUAGAACUACAGCAAAACAGUUGGUCGAUUUAGAACUACAAUUGGUCGGUCGGAGUAUGUGUUUGGUACGGAUGUUUCACAUACUGUUGUUGUCUUUACGAAAGGGUGCAAUGGUUUAUAUAGCUUGGAAUAACAUCCCCGAUAGAGAGAGAUUUUUGUUUUAAAUUAGAAUUUAAAUUUUUAAAAUUUAAAAUUUGUAAUUUCAAAAUUGGAAUUUAUAACUUAAAUUCUAAAUUUUAAAGUUUAAAUUUUAAAUUUGAUAUUUUAAAAUUUAAAAUUUUAAACAUGAUAUUUUAUAUCUUUCAAAUUUAAAUUUAGUUUUAAAUUUAAAAUUUCAAAUUUAAAAUUAAAAUUUUAAAUUUUAAUUUCAAAUUUAAAAAUUUAAAAGUUAAAAAUUUAAAUUUAAAAUUUAAAAAUUUAAAUUCAAAUAUAAUGAGAGAAGUAACACCAUUAUCUUCUAUUUANAGCCGACCAGUCAUUAUGUAUUUCAUUUAUUCGGCUCUUUCAGCUGACCAGUUACUAUGUACUUCUUCCAUUCGGCUCUUCUGCUGACGUUGAUCCCUGCACAGUUCGUACAUUCGGCUCAUCCAGCCGAACCGAGUCCAUAGAAAGGGUUUUCGAACUCGGCUGAUCCGAUCCCUCAUCAGCCGAAUCGCUUGAUCCAGUCGAAGGGCGCAAACUUCGAGGGUCGCUAUCCGCAGCCGUUCCUCACCCCGACGCGUUCCCCGAGGAGUAUCUUUGACCGGGACAAGGGUCGGAAAAUUUGCUAUCAAUAAUUUCUAAAUGAAAUAAACGAAGCGGGUAGCGUACUACCUAUCUCUCAAAAAUAUAUAUAUGUAUAUAGUUUUCAUGUACGAAAACUGUAAAUGAGCACUCCGCGGUCCAAUGUAGGCUGGGCCACCAGAGAAUGGUAGAGCGGUCCAAUGUAGGCUGGGCCACUAGAGAAUGGUAGAGCAGUGUGACAGGAGAGGCGGAAAACCUACGAGUACGGGUACGAAUAGUAAUUGUCAGGUCAGGAACAAGUUGACAAUUGCAUUAAACCAUUUGAACCAUUAGUUCAACUAUCAAAUCACUGAUCGAUGCGAUUUUAAUUAAAACAGCCAGAUAUUUGAUUAUGUCGUAACAAAAUUCAAUAAUUUGAAAUCAACUUCGCGUUUAUCAAUAAUAUUUAUCAAUAAGCUAAUAUUUAUAAUUGAAUAUGCCACUAGAAUAAUAAUAUUUUUUUCUACAUAAUAAAUUUAAAUGUAAUAAUUUAAAUAUUUAUGAUGUUAUACUGAUAUCACUAGUUCAACUAGUGAUUGACUCCCGGUUGAAUCCGUGAUCCUUGAUCCAGUAAUAUAUUUGUAUCGCUAUUCGAUCCGAUUUUCAAAACAUCAUUAUAAACAAGCAUAUGUGACUCUAUACAGUUAAAUUAGAUCCCACAAGACAUAGGCAUAAUUUACAAAAUCGAAAAAGAAAAUCUAUUUAUUUACUAAUUUACACAAUCUUUAAAAUGAUGUAGAAGUUGUUAUUUAGCAUAUCAUUUUUUAUCCUAAAUAUUAGAAAUUAGACAUCAAAUUUUAAGAAAUGGUUGGGCGUAAUCCAUGUUUUUUGAAUCAAAUUGACUCGUUCGAAAUUACUCGAUUUUCGCAAAUUGUGGAUUGAAAAAAAAAAUCGAAUAAAUCGAACUAACCAAAUUUAUAAUAAUUUGAAAUAUGUUUCAACUAUUAAGCGAUUAUCAUACACUCGGGGUACCCGAGAUCUUAAGUUUAAACCCUAAUUGAUUCACAUUUCUAACUAAAUUUAUGUUUCUAAAAGAAAUAAACGAAACGUGUAGCAUGCGAUCUUUCUAUAAAAGACAGUCUGACUCAUCGAGCCAGGCUCAGAUCGUCAUUUGUUCGGUACCGAGCCUAACCCUAGGUUUUGGUACUUUACCCUAUUUGUGCCCUUUUUUAACUUGUCGAGUUUUAAAGGGUUAAGUACGAAAAAGGAUCGAAUCAUUCAAAGAAUUUGAAUUUGAUAUAGAAGCAUCAUAAUUUUUUGAGUUUGGUUCUUGCUUGAUUUUUCCUAUCAAUUGUAAAAGAAAAGAAAAAAGUUUCAAUCCUAAUUAAUUUCUAUUGAUUGUAUCUAGGGGUGGCAAUCCAGCUAACUGUUUACGAGCCAGCUCGUGGUCGGAUCGAAAUGAGCUCGAGAACGAAUCACUCGUUUAGUAAACAAGUCAAAUACGAGCUAAAUUUUUCAGCUCGUUUAAUAAUUGAACCGAACACGAGCUGGGGUCGGCUCGUUUGUGUUCAGCUCGAUAUUUUAAUAAGCCAGCUCGAGUUCGGCUCGUUUAAUGAGCCAAACACAAGCCGGACCCAGCUCGCUUGUGUUCAGCCAUUUUUUUUAAAAAAAUCUUUUGGUUAGAGAAAAAUCUAUUAUUUGGUUAAUUGGGCCAUGGGCUUAUUUACCGCACAAAUUCGAUACUAUAUUAUAUAUACAUGUAUAAAAAUAGAUUUGAUUAAUUGGGCCCAUGGGCUUGUUUAAGAUGGCCUAUAUCCAGUUUAGUCCAACUUAUCUUUUAAUUGAAAAAAAUGGGUUUUACUAUUUAUGGGCCAUUUGAUUUCUCCAAAGAGUGUGAAAAAAAAUUUUAAAAAAAGUUUUUUAUGAUUUUUUUUAAAAAAUUUUUAGUUUUUCAUCCAUCCAUUUGGCUCUAAGGAUACAAGUUUUAUGAAAAGUUAUUUGUUUUAUAUUUUAUGAGAAAUUAGUAUUUUUGUUUUUUUUAAAAAAAAUUUAAGAUGAAAAUUUAUAUUUCAAUUUAAGUUUAAGACGCACGGCGUUUCAGGAGAUCAAAUAUUUAGAUUUAUCAAAGAGUCUUCUUAGUAAAUUUAGUAAGUACAUAAUAUUUGGUAGAAAAGUAUCAUAAUAAAUCUAAAAAAGCAUAUUUUGUAAUAAAAAUUGUGCAAAACUAUUUGAACGAUAGAUCAUUUUGAAUCGACUACCUAAUCUUUAAAAAGUUUAAUUUUACUAUCCAAUCUUUCAAUUUUUUUGUUUUGAGUUAGUCAAAGAUAUUUUAACUUCAAAAUUUAAGCUAAUUAUUUAUUUUAAUGAAUUAUAGUUGUGAGAAUUACAUGAAAUAUAAAAUUAAACUUAUAAAAAUAAACGAUAUAUUCAAAUUUUGAAUUCAAAGUGUCUUUCUAACUCAAAUCAAAAAAUUUGAAAGGUUGAAUAGUAAAAUCAAAAUUUUGAAAGAUCGGAUAAUUAAAUCAAAAUAAUCUAUACCUUUGAUAAAUUCUAUAUAAUUUUACCAUUAUUUUUGAACAUAUCACGAGUAAAAUAUAAUACCUGAAACAAUCGCGGCUACCAAAACUUCGCAAGUAGCUAAAAAUCAAACUCCUAUCUCACAAUCAAGGAAAAAAUAUGUCUCACAACGCAUAAAUUAUUAAUGAAUAAUUUUCCCUCAUUUUACUAUUUUGCAGGAAAUAAAACUAAAGCCCCUACUUAUCAAAUGUCACUUUUGAAUUUUUUUUUUUUAUUAUUAUUUUUUUUGCAACCUAAUUUUAUUGGACAUAAAACUAUUCGAAUAUUUCAUUAUUGCUUAGAGUUAAGUUUAUUCCAAUGAGCAUUACAAAGAAAAUCCACAAAUUUGAGCUCUUUUUAUUUGUUAUUUGUUGUCGAAAACAUUUUCUUGCUUUAGUUUUCAUAUUUGAAAAGAGCAACACUUGAAUAAUUACCCUUUUGUUUCUCAAAAUUAAAAAAAACCCUCAGAAAAAUGCUCAAAUUAGUCAAAAUUACUGAAUGUCCGUAGCACAGGUGACAAAAAACUCAAUGGUUGAUAUUAAAAAAUUCAAGCUCACAAUUUUAGUUAAGUUUUUUUUAAAAAAAAACGCAGUGGAUACAUAUUAUCUUUCUUUAAAAAAAAAAAAAUCUUAAUAUUGGGGUUGCAGAGAAUUUGCUCCUCUCGUGAAAUGCAUGUUGCAUAAAAUUUCAAAAUUAACAAAUCAUAGAGAUCAUAUUAUAAAUUACAUCUCAACUAACUCUACCACCAAAAUGGCCCCCAAAUUCCACUCUUAGGGAAUUAAUUAAUACUAAUCUAUCACUAACACAUCUUUUUUUAAAUUACACUAACAAGUGACAACCACAUUUGGUUGGUUUCAUUAUCUUAUUAAACAAUUAAGCUAUAAGUAUAAUAAACCAAUUAAUUAAUUAAUUAAUUAAGCAACAAGAGAUUAAUUAACUCUAAUUAAUUGUACUUGACGAAUGAAGCACAUGCAUGGGACCUCAUGGGACCUCAAUCAUUUGGAGCCAGGAUGGAUAGUGGAGUUUUGUGAAUAAACUUAUUCAGAAAAUGGGAAUAAGUAUAAAUUAUUCAAUAGGAUAAGGCUCAGUGGAAUAAUUAAAAAGGAAUAAUACAACUAAGUUUUGGUGGCUCCAACAACACUAAUAAGUCACUUUCUUUUUUUUUCUAUAUAUAUAAAUAUAGAGUCCGCCUACUAUCCUAUUAAUAGGAUUGGGACCAUUGUCCUAUCAAGUCGUUUUGAAUAAUCGACACUCUAAAUUGAUAAUCAGCACUGAUAAAUUGAUCUACACUAUAAGAAAUAUUUAAAAACUGAAUUUUGUAAUUUUUAAAAAUCAUUAUCAAAUCUAUUGAAGAGUCGAAAAAAUGAAUGGUAAUAAAUGAAUAACCUUUUUAAAAUAGAGGUUAGAUUUUCUCAAAUCAUGAUCAGAGUUAUCAAAUAUUAUCUAAAUAGUAUAAAAAAUUUUCUAUCAAAAAUUCAAGCAGUUUGGACUGCUCUACACCGUUAAACAAACAAACAGCUCAUAUAGGCCGUCAAAAAUUGUCAAUUUUACGAUCCUUUGAUCAUCAUGUAAAUGAUUUUUAAAAUUUCUGAAAUUUAGUUUCUAGAUAUUUCAAAUACUCCAGAUCAACUUCAAACAUUUCGAUCAUCGAUUCGACAUCUCUAUCAUCAAGAACGACUUGAUAGAACGAUGGUCUCUAUCCUAUUAAUAGAGUAGCAGUUGAAUUUUAUAUAUAUAUAUAUAUAUAUAUAUAUAUAUAUAUAUAUAUAUAUAUAUAUAUAUAUAUAUAUAUAUAUAUAUUAUGGGAAAAUAAAGUUGGUCUUUAAUGAAAGUGACAUUUAUGGGAUGCACUGUUUCAGGCUCUUCUUCUCCAUUUAUUCCAUGAUGGUACUAAAUAUUUAUAAUUGGGGGAAAUUGUUAUCCCAAAACAUUAAUAUUUGAGUGAGACUUGAUUGAUUGGCUUGAGAAUAUGUAUUAAAUAGUAGGAUAUGUUCAUGUAAUGUUGAUAUUUAGACAGUAUUAAUGGGAUGAGGGGUAGUUGGGGCUUUACUAUAUAGCUAGUAGUGUUGUGGGAAUUGAGAAAAUUUGACUUACAAGUAUGUAAAAAUAAUUGAUUACUUUAAGUAACUCUUUUAUUGCAUGUAAUUACGACUGUACUGUAGUUAAAACUGCAUGUAGAUUUAAAUUUGUAGUUAAAUUCAAUUGAACAGUUGUAACUGCAUAAGAGGCUUAACGGUUGUAGUUGAAACUUUUGUUAGUUAAUUCGCAAAUUAUUGAAAAUCCGAAUUAAACGGUCCGUUUAUGAAUUUUUUUCAAAAAAAAAUAAAUUAUUCGUGAAUUUUUGGGCUAGCCGAAUAAUUCGCGAAUUAUUCGUGAAUUAUUCGCGAAUUAUUCGCGAAUUAUUGAAAAUCUGAAUAAAAAACUUAUAAUUUUUAUAUUUAAAUAUAGAUUAUCUUAUAUUUUAUAUCUUAUAUUUUGUAUUUUAUGCCGAAUUUAUUUUUUAAGCCGAAUUUUUCAACGAAUUUAAAAAUUAGAAAACGAAUUUUAUGCGAGAACUUUUGCCGAAUCCGAAUUAACUAACUAUGUUUGAAACUAGGUCCAAAAUAUUGCAGCAGUUUGUGAGACUAAUUUUAAACAACAGAUAAGUUUACUAUUCUAAUCUCCUUUUAAAUAGAAAAUAUUUUUGAGAGUUAACUUCAUAAUUUCCUAUAUAAAGUUGAUAAAAUUUUCUAAAUGUAUUUUUACAAUAAUUUCUAGCAUUUGGUUACAAAUGUUAUAUUUCUAACUGUAUAUAUUUUCAACUAUAUUUUAUUUGGUCUUUAAAUUUUAAAAGUACAUUUUUUUUCUUGCGUCUCAGCUCAAGACAAUGCUUUGAAUUUAAUCAAAAAAAAUUAAACUAAGAUCAACUUAAGCUACCAUUAAACGAUGUUUUAAUGUUUAAUUUUCUAAUUUCUUUGUAGGAUAUUGCUCUGCUAGGCAUAUUAAUUUUUAACUUAACUCUAACAUAAAUAUAAAUAUAAACCCUAAUAAGUAAUUCUAAAAGGUAAGAAAUUAACAAAGGUGUGGUAGUUAACCUAAAAUAUAUGUAAAAAGGGCAUAAUAAAUUAGAUUGUUAGUGCAAUAAUCUUAUUAUGACUUAAACUUCCUGAAUUAUUACGAUCAAAUUUAACAAUUUAAUUUAAUCAACUAAACGUUAAUAUGUUGCUAAUGUCGAAGUGAAGUAUCAGUGAUAUGAUUGAUGAUACGACAAUAAUUAAGAUGUCAUGCAUGUCAUGUCAUAUUUGUGUAGCGACAUACCAAUAAUUAGUUAACAAAAUUAAAUUUUAAAGCUUGCUUAUGGUAAUUUAUAAAGUUCGAGCUAGUGAGAAAUUAUAAUAAUUUAAUGUUUAAAAACUAAAGCAUAACCCACCUCAUAAUUUGAGGACUAAAAGUGUAUAUUUAACCUUUAUGUUUUAAUUUUUUAGAGAGAGAUAUAUUUUUUAAGGGACAAUUACCUAUAUACCCUUCAAAAAUUUUAAAAUAUCUUAUAUACUGCUACUUUUUUGUUUCAAAUAUACCUCUCGUACAUAUUUCUUCGUUAUUAAAAAAUAACUCUACUAUUAGUAUCCGUUAAGUUAUUUCAGAUUAAAUUCAGAUUAAAUUUCUACCAGAGUUACGAACAAAAAAGUUAAAAUACCUCUUUUCUCCGUAACUUAAGUGUAAAUAAAAAAAAAGUUAGGAAGAUGUAUAUUUAAAAUGGCAAAAUAGUAAUUUUACAGAGAUAACGACUAGCACUAAUAAGUUACUAGCAGAAUCUAACUCUAAAUAUAUAUAUUUGAAAAAAUUUGAAACGUUAGAAAGUGUAUUUUUUUAAUAUUAAUUUUUUAAGUUGGAUAAAUGAGAAAGUUUAAAAUUUUUCAGAGAAAUAUAUACGCAAUUGUCCCUAUUUUUUAAAUAUAGAACAAGAUAAGCUCCAUCAUUUUCACUCAUGCACAUAUACAGGAUGUAUGAAGUAAUGUGUUCCUCAUUUUCCACAUCAUUGAUAGAGACAUAUAUUUAUAAGCUUCUGGGCUAAUCCGGAGGAAUCUUCAAAAGUGAAUAAACACAAAAACAGUAGGGAAAAGUCAUGGUUUGUUUACUUAAUUUCUAGCAAAGGAAUUAAAAGGAUAUGAUCAUGUAGUCUCUACAACAUUCCAGUGCUUCCCAAAAUUUUUAAUUUUUUUUCAAAAAAAAUUAAAAAGAUAACAAUUUAUGUUCUCUUGUGUGUUUAUAUGUGUAUCAGAAAUUGUAAAAGGUUGUGGCCACUGUGGAAAAAAUUGACCUCAAAAAUGACAUCUGAUUCUUUUGUGCUAAAUGUUAAAAGUUCAAACCAAUCAUAUGGUUUUGUAUUUUCUGAUGUUAUUAAAGACAAAAUGAGUUACAAAAAAAAAAAAAAAAAAAAAAAAAAAAAAAAAAAAAAAAAAAAAAAAAACUUUACUAAUUUUCUAUAUGGCUACAUAAAUGAUUUCUUAAUUGAUUUCGUGCGAUUUACAUAAUAUAUUUUGUCAGUAAGUUUAAACAGAGAUUACUGGUUCUAAAUUCGAGCUCAGGACUUGAUAAGGCUUAUGUAAACAAACUUAAAAUGCGUGUGUAAACUGAUUAAAAAAUUCUUAAAUAACAAGUGCUCACAUAUCAAUAAAUACUAUUACUUUACUAUUUGGAGCAUUGCUCAAAUAUCUGAUUACUAUAUUGAUAAAUUCAAAUGAUAUUUUAGAAUGUGUGCAUAAAAUAUGCUUUGGAAUUCUCAUAAUAUUAUCUUUAUAUAUUAGUUUAAUCGUCAUAUGAACACGCUCUAAAAUGCCAAAUAAUUUAUUAAUAUAUUAAUAAUAUAGUCCAGCUAGAAUACUAUCAAUGGUAUCUGAAUUGUAUUUGCUAUUAAUUUUUUCAAUACUUGAAUAUCUAGGAUUCACUCUUUGGUGUUAGUGUUAUUAUGAAUGCAAAGGCUAAAAAAUUGAUAGUGCAUAUUAUUAAUUCAUGUGUUAUUAAUAGUUUUAAUUAUGGGUUCGCUCUUAAUAAUUUAUUUCUUACAACUAUUCAAAAUUUUCAAAUUAUCCUAAAUUAUCAAAAUAUUCCUUUAAAAUCCAAUUCUUAGUGAACUCUAGAAAAAUAGGGUUAUUUGAAGAAAUUUUUUAAAAUCAACCAGAAUAUUUGUGUGAUACCUCGCUUUCUUGGAGAUCACCCAUUCUAAAAUCACUUUAAUCCUAACACGCUUAACCCUCUUAAUUUUUUGGGAUUAAUUAUCACCGAAAAUGCUAUAGUAGGGUUAUGCGUGAUAGGGCUAUAGUAGUUUUAAGAUGGGCGACCCUCCGGAUAACGGAAUGUCACGGUUCAUAUCAGACCCAAUUACCAACUGAAAGUGUAAAAUGAGUUUCGGCUGAAUUAAGAUUAUACAGCGGGUAGAUCGCGACUUAUUGCCUAACGAUCGUUGUGGGUGAAGCGCGGCUCCCGACAAGAUCUGCUAAGGCUGAUGAAACGAGUCGCACAUCGCCUAAUUCUUGUGAGUGUGCUUAAGUAUGAUGAGAACGUCAGGACUUGAAUAGUGAAAGAACGUAACACUCUCAAGAUUUAAAUUAAUCCUAUAUAUAAUGUAUAAAAGAACUAAAACUCUUAAUGUGACCAUAAUAUUUUCGACGGUGGUUAUACUAAAAAAAUUAGUAAAGUGUAGUGAGAUAGAAUAAUUCUAAUUAAAAUGGGCCACCCUCUAGAAAGCAGGACGUCACAAUUUUAAUGCUCCAAAUAUAAAUAAGAUAUCUUUUAAAAUUUUAAAAAAUAUCUAAGAUAUUACCUCAAAAUUUAAGAAUAAUUGUGAAAGGUAUAGCAAUGUACUAUAUAUUUCAGCGAAUUAUAGCGAAACAUACAAUUUUGUCGUAAAUUUUGCCGUCGCAUAAAGGACCGUUGCUUAAGAGGAUGUGUCCUGAGACAUCUUAGCCGUUGCCAUGUGACGCUACAACAAUACAAAUAUUGUACCUGCUGGUCCCCCCCUCCCGUUCCGUUUUAAAUCACGACGGUUCUAGAACCACGGACUAGGGAGGGGGGACGCUCCAGUGAUUUUCAGAUUGAAAAUGACUUUCAGUUAAACUAAAAGUUAGAUAAAAAUAUAUUUUACCGUUAUUUAUUUGAUUCAAAAAUUUAUUUAUUUUGAAAUUAUAAUUAUUUUACUAGCACAUAUAUAAGAAAUAAUUGCAAUUUUUUAAAUUUUUUUUAUCACUUUCUUUAUUUUUUGUAACUAAUCUUGGAACCAUUUAAGGGUAUAGGCAAUUGCAGUAUUUAAAAAAAUUGGAAUUAUGAACGAAUUAAUUUUCACACAGGUAUAUUAAAAGCGAGAAAAGAAAAAUUAUAACUGCUAAUUUUUUAUUAAUUUUUAUUUAUUUUUUGUAAUUUACUUCAAAACUAGUCAAGAGUUAGACGUCAUGAACAUUAACAUAAGGCACGCAACAUGACACAACACUGACUCGUACACAACAACUCGCCAGCUUCCAAAAGAUUAAGACACGGAAAUAAAAAACCGCUUAUAUAAAAUAUAAUUUAUAUUAUAUAUUUGUUAUAUAUAAGUUUGUUAAAAUAUUGUCAUAUUUCUCGUACGAAUAAAAAUUCGUAAAAUUUUUAUUGAAAAUUCAUGUGUUAUAUAUAAGAGAAGAAAUUUCUGACUAUCUUCAAAAAUCUUAUAUGCAAUAUCAUCUCACAUAAUCUAUGUAUAAAAAAAUUAUAUAUAUAUAUAUAGAGAGAGAGAGAGAGAGAGAGAGAGAGUCGGGAUAGAGUACUAUUGAUAGCAAAAUAUUUAUAUUGCUAUCAAAUUUUUAGUCUUUAGAUCAAUUUCUUUCAUCAUUUCUAAACAUUGAAUUAAAUAUUAUAAACCUAAAGGACUAAUGUCAUUCUAAUCUUAUAAUUUUCCAUCUAAGAGUUAAAAAUUUGAUAUUAAAACGAACCUUUUGCUAUCAAUAGUAUUCCAGUCUAGCUCUUUAUAUAUAUUCUUUCAAUUGUAUAAGCUAUAGAUUCACAUUGAACGCACGGACGCGCAUCUCGGGCUCGAGCUCGACGCAGACGCACGAAACUAAUAGUAAUUGAUAUUCGUGAUACAUAGGUUACGAGUGAAGUAAAUUAAUUAGGGAAAAACUUCAAAAAUCAUUUCCUGUCGUUUUACACUUUUUCAUUUUAGUACUCUAUGGUUUAAAGUGUAUCAAGUUAGUAUCCUGUGGUUUCUCACUUUAUCACUUUAGUACUCUGCGGUUUAAAGUAUAUCAAGUUAGUACCUUGUGGUUUUGUACUUUAUCACUUUAGUAUCCUAUGGUUUCACACUUUAUCAUUUUAGUACCCUAUAGUUUAAAAAACCACAGAGUACUAACUAGAUACAAAAUUAAAACCACAAGGUACUAAAGUGAUAAAGUGCAAAACCACAGGGUACUAACUUGAUACACUUUAAACCACAUGAUAGUAAAGUGAUAAAGUGAGAAACCAUAGGGUACUAAUUUGAUACAUUUUAAAUCAUAGGGUACUAACGUGAAAAAAUUUGAAACCACAGGGAGAUUUUUUUGAAAUUUUCGCAAUUAAUUACGGUGCUUUCGGAAAGUUAGAUUAUGAUCGAAUUCAAUUUACGACGAACUAAACAAAGAAAAAGUAAAUAUUUACCUUCGACCUCUGUCUCACAGUCUCUCUCUCUCUCUCUCUCUCUGCAUUUGCGACACUUGCCCGCCUUCUCUGACACAACAGCGACGCCGUCUCCGAGGUGUUUUGCCUUCGGCGUUUUGCGCCGAAAACGAGCGGCGACACUUCGACAGUCGCCAGCGCGGGACAGCUGGCCGGCGACGUGGCGGACACCGCCACCAAACAGCUCGUCCUGCCAAUCAGUAACCGCCACGUGGCGAGUCGAUAGCCAUACUUUUUUUUUAUUAAUUGCAUGUAGCUCGCUGUAAAUAUAUUAAGGCUUUGUUUGAGAUUGCGGAAAGAUUGCGUUACGUGCGAUGAGAAACAACGAUGGGAAAAUACUCUGUUUAUUUCCGUACGUAAUAUUAGCGAUGAGUCCCACCAGAGAACGCAGAAGCAUAUCCCUAUAUACUUUUUCCUCAACUCCAUUUUAUCUAAUAACGUUAGAUAGAUCUUAGUACCAAACUAAGCCUAAAUAGUAAAUAUAUCGCUACAAAAUUUAAUUUUUUAUUUUUAUUUUUGUAAAAAUUUAAUAAUAUUCAUAUUGUUCUUCUGAUUUGUUACCAUUCGAGUAAUAUUACUUUUUAACAAAAGAUAAAUAAAAUAAUAUUUUUAUUCUUACAAAUAUAUCUACCUAAAAGUCACAACAGUUAGAAUUAUAGAAAUAUCCACUCAAAAUAGUAUUUUAACCAAUAAUAUAAAAUAGGUAAAAAGAUCAAUUUAACUUAUUAACUAAACAGGGUUAACUAUAUUUUUCUAAUGUAUCAUAAUAGCAAAAGUAUAUUUGAAAAUGUUAUGAUUUUCGUAGGGAUAAAAAUAAAAAGUUAAACUUUGUAGGAAUAUAUCUGUUAUUUGAUAUUUUUACAUGAAGCUGUAUGCAAUUAAUUUUUUUUUAAUAAUACAACACCUACGUUAACUAUUUUACUAUCUAAAAUUUUAAUUUAUUUGAUUUAAAUGAAAUAGCAAUAUUUUAAUUUAAAAUUUUAAAAUAUUUAUUUAAUUCAAUAAAUUUUGCCAUAAAAAAUAUAUCCUUCCAAAAAUUAUAAUAAUAUAAUAUAAGAGGAAUAAAAAGGUGAAAAAUUAACCGGGGUAAAAUAUUUAACCUAUUGUUAAUUAAAUUUUUCUGAUGGAUUUUAACGAUAGGAAUAUAUCUGAAAAUAUUAGAAUUUUUACAGAAAUAACUUAUAAAAGUUAAACUUUACAGAAAUAUAUUUAUAAUUUACUAUAUUUAUAGGGACCUAUAGUAGAUUAUUCUUAUUUUCACCUUCCAUUCUAUAAACUUUGUAAAUAUUUUUUGUAAUAAAUUUUACUCUGCUGGAUACGUCCAAAUUUCUGUUCGGUCGUUGGACACAGUACGUUAGAAAACGGGCUUUUUUUGCAAAUAGCCCCAUAAAAAAUUUUAUUUCCGAAAAUAGCCCUGUGUAAAAAUUAUUUGCAAAAAUGGCCCUGCCCCCGCCCCGUCAGCGCCACGUCAGCGCCACGCGGGCGGGGCUGGGCCAAUUGUAUAAGUUGAACACGGUGAACCAUUCACCGUGUUCAAUACAAGAUUUUUGUAUUGGACACGGUGAAUGGUUCACCGUGUCCAAUACAAAUACAUUCGACUUAGCCAAAAAUGGCUAAGUUGUGGGUGUUUGUAUUGGACACGGUGAACCAUUCACCGUAUCCAAUUAUUUGUAUUGGACACGGUGAAUGAUUCACCGUGUCCAAUACAAAUAUAUCCCACUUAGCCAUUUUGUAUUGGACACGGUGAACCAUUCACCGUGUCCAAUACAAAAAUUUUGUAUUGAACACGGUGAAUGGUUCACCGUGUUCAAUUUAAACACUUGGCCCAGCCCCGCCCGCGUAGGCGACUGACGGUGGCGCGCUGGACGGGGCGGGCAGGCCUUUUUGCAAAUAAUUUCUACACAGGGCCACAUUUUUAAAAAAAAAAAAUUUGUAAGGGGCUAUUUGCAAAAAGAAUCCCUUAGAAAAACAUUAAUUUUAAUACGGAAAACAAACAGGGUGUUAUCACCGUUCGAUUGUUUGGACGGUUGAUUCCCCCUUGGUGCAACUCAACAUGCUUUGGUAAUAGUAUAUAUGUGUUUUACUAGAUCUGUUUACCACAAUAUAUAAUAUAAAAAUAAAAAAAAUAAAAUUUGUAGUGGGUGAAUUUUAUAUAAGGUAAAAUUUUCAGAGAUUCUACGCUAUGGUUAAAUAAAUGUUGUAUCUCAUGUGUUAAUAGGAUCAGUGUUCAUUAUUUUUUUAUUAUCAAUUUUACUAAUUUUUUUCGUUAAAUCAAUGACAAAGUUAAAAUUAAAAGAUACUAAAGUGAAUAUUCGAUAAGUAUAGUAUCUAAAAUUUUUUGUAUAUAAUUUAAUAAAAUAUUAAUGGAGAAGCUAACGAAAAGAUAAAAAUAAAAUUACAGAAUACUAAUUUGAUACACUUUAAAUCACAGGAUACGAAAGUGAGAAACUACGAAACCACAUGGAUGGUAUGUGAAGUUAACCCAACAUAUAAUAAUUAAAGAGACCCUGACACGCACCCACAUGUUGCUACCCACAAACCCUACCUCUCUCUGAUCAAAUUUUUGGUUCCAAAUUUGACACGUGGACUCAGCCACGUGGAAUUUUAAAAUUAAAUUUAAUGAAACAAAUUAAAAAUUUACGAUAAAUAUUUUAGUGUACUUGUCUGAACUAUCGACCAUUUUAAAUCAAAUAUUCGAAAUUUUAAAAAUUUGGUUUUUACUUGAUUUGAGUCUGCCACGGCACUCCAACUUUAACUAUUCAAUUAAUUAUUUAUUUUAAUAAAUUUAUAAUAUAGCUAAUUCAAAUCAAGCAAACUAAAAGAUUGAAUAGUAAAAUCAAAAUUUUUGAAAGAUUUGAUGGUCAAAUCAAAAUCAUCGAUAAUUCAGGUGAAUUCUAUACAUUUUCUUUAUCAAAAUUUUUAUUAGACUUACCAUUAAUGGAGCCGAAAGUUGGAUGUACACAUGCAUGUGUAAAUAUAAAUGUAAAUCAUAAAUUCUGCCUUCUCAGCAUUUUUUUUUUUUUGAAAUAAGAUAAAUCAUCUGAGAGCUAAGACAUGAUAUCUUAUCAAAUUAUUGUUUCUUUUAAGAGCAAAAUUCAAACUCCGAUCUUUUAAUUUCAUAAAAAAAAUGUUACUCUGAAUAAGUUAUCUAAUAUUCAAGUGAAACCAUAUAAAUAGUAAUCCGUAAUGCAUGCCACACUGUUUUAUUAAGCUAUAAUUUUUACGAUUUCACCAGAAUACAAUAAAGCAUAAUUUUACACACUUUCAGCUCAGCACAUAUUAGUUUAAAAGCUAUAAUUAGGCAGAUAGUUCUAAACCAUAAAGAAUUCAAUUUGAACUGGAACUGAUUUAACCCAAGUAGAACCAUAGAAGAUUCGAGUAGAGUCGAAUUGAUCUACAAGACGGUUCAAUCCAAAUUGAAUUACAGAAGGUUCAAUCUAAACCGAACCACGAAGGAUUCAGCUUGAACAAAAAUGGAUUUAAUUUAAACUGAAUUACAGAAAAUUCAAGCUGCAAACCAGUUCCAUGUAAAUAAAACUACAUGAGGUGUGAGCCAAACCAAAUCAAACUACAAACCGAUUUGACUCAAACAAAAGCAUUAAAAUGCAAACGGUCGAAAACCAUGUGAGUGACUUACAUGAGUUAUGAGGAAUGUGAAUUGUGUAACGGCUAAUACGAAUACACACAGCACGGAUGCAAAAACGAAAAAUUGGUUGGCUUUGAUUUGACGUGUUCUGUUUUUUUUUUUUUUUUUUUUUUUUUUUUUUUUUUUUUUUUUUUUUUGAAAAAAAGGGGACGAAAUGUGA
rnacentral:lncRNA from 1 species